AAUAAAUGUAUAUUUCUUUAUCUGUUUAACAGUGAAAGGAGACAGAGAUGCGGUACAGGACAGUGAGGUUGUCCUAACCAAAAUGAAGCUCUUCAGCAACUUCCAGGAGAGGCUCCUGAUGGCCGACGACUCCGCUUCCACCUUCUCCACAGUGUCGGUUUCAGAGCAGAACAUCUCGGACCCCACCAAAGCCUCUGAAGUGAAUUACAAUCUUGAUGACAAGUUGGGGCCAGACUACGUGGCCACCAUUUUCUCAGACUCUAAACUGCCGAGGUUGUACAAGUUUGAGUCGGAGGACUCUGGAGUAGAGCUGCCCAGUGGAGCUAACUCUCCGUCUACCCCGACAGGCUCUGAGCAGAGCUUCAUUGUCCACAGUCGUGAGUCCUCCUGCAACUCCUGCAACCUAAACUCUGACCCUACAACUCUCCCUGAUGAACUAGUUACAUAUGCACAGAGCUCUGAGAAUAAACAGGCAGAGGACUCAGUGGAUAAUAGUGUGAGCACAGCAGGGGAUACUCAGGAUAAUGUGUUCAUACACUCAGAGGAACUCAGUUCAGCUGUGAGAGCGGAACUUCACAUAGGUGAGGACGUGUCUGAACAGCUCGAGGCCAACAGUGCUGUAAGUGAAAGGACUUGCUUAGAGGACAUGAGGCAUAGGAAGCAAUCCUCAACAGGAGCCUGUGAUGACAUGACGAGCAAUGACUUUGAGCCAGAGCCUAUAAGGAGGAGUGCCACCAUUGACAGCCUGGAGGAGUACAUGGACAAAUGUUGCAGACUUAGCGAGGCACAGCAGGCAAGUUCCAACCCUCUGGGUUCAGGCCUGGGUUACCUGGAGCACAUCUGCCAACUCAUUGAGAAGAUGGGCCAGCUGCAGGAGACCAACCUCCGGCUUCAGAGGUACAUCUGCAGCCUGCAGAAGGACGGCAGGAUGUCUAAGACCAAAGAGGACUUUUUCCAGCAGCACUGCAGCUGUGGUGCAGCUGACCUGGCCACCCAGGACGUUCAGAAGAUACACUCCAGAAAUGAGUUUUUGUCUCCCAGUGGAACCCUGUCUGACCUGUCCACCAUCCAUGAGGUCACCCGGCAUCCGUUCAUAUCAACCAGUAGAGACAUGAGCAGUGAGGGUUUGACACCCGUCCCACUGUGGAGGAGAGGCUUGAACCGUAGCAGUUACACUGAGGGGGAGGUACGCUUCCUCGUGGACAGCACCGAAGCACUCUCCAUUCCCCAGCGCAGGCUAAGUGAAAACUAUACAUGGGGCCGAGUCAAAGACCUGGUGAGGAAAACUAAGUUGAGGAACCAAAGCAGGCUGGGACUGACUCCCACCCCACUGAAGAUGUCCUGCCCACAACUCUACAUGCCUGAUCUGGAACCAGAAGAACCUGCUGGCAGAAACAGGAACUCCAUGAUUGCCUUGGGUCACCAGAGCAAAUUGGAAUUCCCUUGGCUACAAUAAACACCCAGACCAGGUCCUGUUAGUCUCACAUGGAGAAGAGGAGGACGCCAUGUAGGUACAUAGAGAUGAUUCAAGACUGGAAAAUAAACCAUGAAGAAGGAAAAGAAGGGAAUGAAGAAGAAGGAAAAAACUGACGUAUUAAAGGAAAGGACUUCUGCAUCAGAGAUGUUUUUGCUGCAUGUAAGGGUGAAAAGUGUUUACGUGAAACUCAAACUGUAUAUGCGGUGUACAUGUUCGCACAAAAUUAAGAUGAGGCUUAUGUGUAAUAUGAUCUACACUGACAUAAUUUAACUGCAUUAUACAUUCUCUGUUGAUAAUAUUGACAUUUAUAUAGUUUCCAUUAGAAUGCGUCAAAAUCUGUAACAAUCCAACUAAUAUGAAACAUACACAUAUUUCAUAACUUUUUAUUGUAUAUGAUAUUGUAAAUGUUAUAAACAAUUGAGAGUCUGCUUUGUAUAGUGUGUGUGUAAUGUUGCUUAAGAGAACAACAUUACCGAAACCAAUAAAUCAAGAAUAAUGCAGACUUGAUGCCAUGAUUGGCCAGGUGUGUUUUCCCCAAGGAAAGGACUGCAGAACCCCACAAAAGACAGGCAGUUGUUGAGUGGGGAAGCCCCUCCUUUGAGUCAAAAGUGUUCCUACCAUCCAGAAAAGCUAGAAACACUUUUACACGUCAUACAAACAAAGGAAAGUAAAAUGGAGCCUCAAAGGUCUACUUUCUGUCCCUGAUUGAUGCAUGUCAGUAGUGAUAGUCGGUCAGAAGCAGCCACUACAGAACAGAAAGCACCAGGUUGCCAACCCAUGCUAUUCCUUUCAACCAGACUUUGUCAAUAAUCCUCUUUUAUGAGACAAU
rnacentral:lncRNA from 1 species